GUAACAAGGUUUCCGUAGGUGAACCUGCGGAAGGAUCAUUAUUGAAAUAAACCUGAUGGGUUGUUGCUGGUUCUCUAGGGAGCAUGUGCACGCUUGUCAUCUUUAUAUCUCCACCUGUGCACCUUUUGUAGACCAGGAUAUCUCUCUGAGUGCUAGCCACUCAGGUUUGAGGAUUGACUUUAUGUCUUUCCUUACAUUUCCAGGCCUAUGUUUCUUCAUAUACCCCAAUGUAUGUCUUAGAAUGUAUUCAAUGGGCCUUUGUGCCUAUAAAAUCUAUACAACUUUCAGCAACGGAUCUCUUGGCUCUCGCAUCGAUGAAGAACGCAGCGAAAUGCGAUAAGUAAUGUGAAUUGCAGAAUUCAGUGAAUCAUCGAAUCUUUGAACGCACCUUGCGCUCCUUGGUAUUCCGAGGAGCAUGCCUGUUUGAGUGUCAUUAAUAUAUCAACCUCUUCAGCUUUUUUGUUUGACGAGUGUUGGAUGUGGGGGUUUGUUUUGCUGGUCUUUUUUUUAAAGAGGUCAGCUCCCCUGAAAUGCAUUAGCGGAAACAUUUGCGGAUCGUUCAUUGGUGUGAUAAUUAUCUACGCUAUUGACGUGAAGCAGUUCAGCUUCUAACAGUCCAUUGACUUGGACAAUUUUCAUUAAUGUGACCUCAAAUCAG
rnacentral:rRNA from 1 species